rnacentral:misc_RNA from 1 species
GUGAAUCAUCGAAUCUUUGAACGCACCUUGCACUCUUUGGUAUUCCGAAGAGUAUGUCUGUUUGAGUGUCGUGAAAUUCUCAACCCCCUUAUUUUGUAAUGAAAUGGGUCGUGGGCUUGGAUUAUGGCUGCUUGUCGGCUCUUCAUUGAAGUCGGCUCAGCUGAAAUACACGAGCAACCCAAGCUGAAACGGCGCGACGGUUUGACUCGGCGUGAUAACAUAUUUCGCUGAGGACGUCGCACCUAUAACGUUUCGAGCGAAGGUGCUUCUAAUGCGAAGUUUUUCACUUUAAGUUUUAGA